rnacentral:rRNA from 1 species
CCUACGGGCGGCAGCAGUGGGGAAUAUUGGACAAUGGGCGAAAGCCUGAUCCAGCCAUGCCGCGUGUGUGAAGAAGGCCUUCGGGUUGUAAAGCACUUUCAGUGGGGAAGAAAGCCUUGGGGCUAAUACCCUCGAGGAAGGACAUCACCCACAGAAGAAGCACCGGCUAACUCCGUGCCAGCAGCCGCGGUAAUACGGAGGGUGCGAGCGUUAAUCGGAAUUACUGGGCGUAAAGCGCGCGUAGGCGGUCUGAUAAGCCGGUUGUAAAAGCCCCGGGCUCAACCUGGGAACGGCAUCCGGAACUGUCAGGCUAGAGUGCAGGAGAGGAAGGUAGAAUUCCCGGUGUAGCGGUGAAAUGCGUAGAGAUCGGGAGGAAUACCAGUGGCGAAGGCGGCCUUCUGGACUGACACUGACGCUGAGGUGCGAAAGCGUGGGUAGCAAACAGGAUUAGAUACCCCGGUAGUC